rnacentral:lncRNA from 10 species
UUUGUAUAUUAUAUGUUUUAGAUCAGUUUAAGGCACAGUAUAGUAUCUAAUAAGUCUAUAAUGUUUUUAGAAUUGGCGAGGUCAUUUCUCAUAUAUUGUCUAAUUUUAUUUUAUUCUUUUUUUUUUUGUUAGAGACGAGUCUCACUCUGUUGCCCAGGCUGGAGUGCAGUAGUGCAGUCUCAGCUCACUGCAACCUCUGCCUCCCAGGUUCAAGCGAUUUUCCUUGAGUAGCUGGGAUUACAGGACCUUCAGUACCUUCUAGCUGUGGAGUCCUAAUCAGGGGAAAACAAAGAGAUAAGGCAGAUAAGCUGCAAGUCUGCCUUUCUUCAUGGUCCAGUACACAGCCCUCCUGUGCAAAUAACUCACAGUCAUCCUUCCUGUGUCCAACUAUCACCAAACACCUGCAAGUUAGCUCACUGCAACCUUUGCCUUAUAGAUACUGCACAAAGCCAUCUUCAACAGACAGCAUAAAAACUAUUCUAUAAAUUAUCCAGCAAGCCUUUGUUUCCUGGCAGUCAGCUUCUCUUUUGCUGAUCCUGCCUUUUGCCUCCUCGAAAAGUAUUUUCAUACUUUUAAAAGUAAAUCUGCCUUUCUUUACAACUGUCUUGGUAAAUUCUUUUACCCCCCCUCGCCUCCCGCCCAGAUAGUCGUCCCUCCCCGGCGACAUCAACCUAAAAGAGAUUUUGAGAAUGAAUCUGAUGGUUUCCAAAGUAACUGAUCCAUACGAAAGUGUAUACAGCAGGGGAGUCGUCGGAGAAAGUCAAAACCCGUCUACUCACCAGCCACCUUCAGAUGCACCAGGGCUUCUUCGUAGCUUCCAUCCUCCCUGAAAAAGCACGUGUACUCCCC